rnacentral:snRNA from 1 species
UAAAAGGGUCGGUUGGCUAAAUAUGCCACGCUCAUCCAUUGAAUGGUGAGUGCGGUAUGUCUAUCAAGACAUAUGGCCGACAUAAUUUCUAGGAACUUAUAGGAUUGGCUCCCUUUGGCCGACCCUCCA